rnacentral:rRNA from 1 species
AACGAACGUUAGCGGCGCGCUUAACACAUGCAAGUCGAGCGAGAAAGGGCUUCGGCCCCGGUACAGCGGCGCACGGGUGAGUAACACGUAGGUAAUCUGCCCCCAGGUGGUGGAUAACCUUCCGAAAGGAGGGCUAAUACAGCAUAAGACCACGGUUCCGAAAGGGAUUGAGGUCAAAGCCGGCCUCUUCAUGAAAGCUGGCGCCAGGGGAUGAGCCUGCGGCCCAUCAGCUAGUUGGUAGGGUAAUGGCCUACCAAGGCGUAGACGGGUAGCUGGUCUGAGAGGAUGAUCAGCCACACUGGAACUGAGACACGGUCCAGACUCCUACGGGAGGCAG